rnacentral:lncRNA from 1 species
UGCUUAAAAGUUUGAUAGAUCUCUAGUGCGGACUUCUUAAUCAUGCCAAUUCUCCACAUGUCAGUCUCCGUUUCCUUUGAUUUGAAGAUCAACACGUCACCCAGCGGCGGGUCCCGAUUUGAGGAAGCUGACGCUACCAGUGGUGGUUUCGAUUAGACGUUGUACACGUAAUGGAUUACCCGGGGCCUAUAAAAAAGCCAAGCGGCGCGUCGACAAGCAGUCAGCCGACGUAUGCGUCAGAGAAAAGGCACCUCAGCUCUUCGAGUCACUAAGCUGUCGGUCCCAGGACUGAAUAUGUAACGCUUCUAUUUCGAUGCUGUACGUAAACCUUGCCUCAACUCACGUCGCGCCUCGUAACAAUGCUCGGUUGCUAAAGUACUACGCCAUUUUUUUCACGUUAUAUUAGGUCGCGAGUGGGUUGUAAACGCCGACUGAAAAAUAUCUGCCUGGCCCUCUUUAAAGGCUCCCUUCCAGGCCAUUGGAAAAAGAACAAGGUCGUUCCACUCUUCAAAUAAGCUUUUCCCAGCAACAGAACAAUACAAGCCUCACAUCUUGGUGGUAAAAUGUCGCACACCGAAUGCGUAUUCACCGCCAAGAGCACGAGAACUGACCGAAAGAGAGAACUGAUCUAGCAGGAAUACUACUCCAUCGACUGUACAGUUGGUUUACACAAGGCCUUCUGCAAAUAGUUCUAUGCGAGCAAUGUUGCAUAAAAAUAUAGUGCAUUUAUACAACUGUGGAAUAAACAUAUAAAAUGAGAAAGCUUA